rnacentral:rRNA from 1 species
AUUUGGUCACCUGGGCCGAGUAUUAAAGCUCCGGCGGUAAAAGAUGAGUAUGCGUCCUAUUAGCUAGAUGGUAAGGUAACGGCUUACCAUGGCGACGAUAGGUAGGGGUCCUGAGAGGGAGAUCCCCCACACUGGUACUGAGACACGGACCAG